UGGGUGUUGUACGACCUUGUCCAUCCAUGGGGGUCUCGCAUAUGCAGUCGGUUUUGUUAUUUUAUUGAUUGUCUGUUAAAUUCGGCCGUACAAUAACAAUUGACCAUUCAAUUUGCAGUCUGCCCAAUGCUAUACAAGAAGAAAAAAAUAAAGACACAAACUAUUUUGAUUCUGAUUAUCUUUCAAUUCAAGAUUGUAUUAUUGACUUCAUUAUCAAUGAGUGAAAAUUAAUGUUCUCGUCAUGAAAAAAUAUUGCACAGCUGUACCCCACGCCGUAGUAAUUACUUGUUUGUAUGAAUUUCAAAUCUUCCAACACUAGACCCGAUUUAGCCACCCUUCGCGCCAUAUAUUUUGUUAAAAUUUUCUAAUUAAUCACGGGUUCAUAUGUUUUCUUUUUUUCUUUUUGUGUCAUUAAAAUAACAUGUUGAUAUCAUAAAUGUUCAAUUAAAUAUUUGCCGCUGGACGUUAAGCAGCUUUUAAUAGAUAUAGGAAGAUGUGGUAUGAGUGGCAAUGAGACAACUCUCAAUCCAGGUAACAAUUUAUAAAAGUAAACCAUUAUAGGUCAAGGUACGGCCUUCAACACGGAUCCUUGGCUCACACCAAACAGCAAGCUAUAAACGGCCCUAACAUUACUAGUGUACAACAAUUCCAACGGGAAAACCAACGAUCCAAAAUAUAAAAUAUAUACUCAUAAUUAGCUACUGCAGCUUUUGUCAUGUUUGUGCUGAUGUUAAAAAUAGCAGGUCCUUUUGUUUUGUAAUGUGUCUUAUUUGUUAAAAUGUUAUUCAACAUGUUACAGUUUAAGCAACGAAUAGUAGGAUAGCUCCGAAAUCCUUGCAAUUUUUCUUUCUCUUAGUACGUUGAGCAGAUUCCGUUUGGCCGUACAGUUUCGGCAGUUAUUCAUUUUUUUUGCCAGAAUAAAAAGCUCAAAAAUUCUUCUUCCGUCUUUCCAUGUUAUACUGUCAGAACUCUCUUCUGUGUCUUUUACCUUUUCUUCAAUUCGUCAUGCAAAGUUGUAUUAGAUUUAUGUUUGUUCAUAUCCAGUAUUUCCUUUGAUCUCACUGCUCUAUGGCAGAUUUUGCAGUCUUUUAGAAACGACAUAGCCGCUUUUUUAGCAGGUACUUUUUUGAGAUUCGCGAAACCUGAUUAUGACGUCAGUGAAUAUUCCGCGAAAAUAUGACCUAAUUUAAAGCGACGUCGCGAAAUGUUAACGUUCUUAUUACAAACAUCGCGAAAUUACAACGAUCUGGUUACCAACGUCGCGAAAAC
rnacentral:lncRNA from 1 species